rnacentral:rRNA from 1 species
CCUACGGGAGGCAGCAGUGAGGAAUAUUGGUCAAUGGCCGGAAGGCUGAACCAGCCAUGCCGCGUGAAGGUCAGUGCCCUAUGGGUUGUAAACUUCUUUUAUAAAGGAAUAAAACGAGGCACGUGUGCCUUUUUGCAUGUACUUUAUGAAUAAGGAUCGGCUAACUCCGUGCCAGCAGCCGCGGUAAUACGGAGGAUCCGAGCGUUAUCCGGAUUUAUUGGGUUUAAAGGGAGCGUAGAUGGGUUGUUAAGUCAGUUGUGAAAGUUUGCGGCUCAACCGUAAAAUUGCAAUUGAUACUGGCAGUCUUGAGUACAGUUGAGGUAAGCGGAAUUCGUGGUGUAGCGGUGAAAUGCUUAGAUAUCACGAAGAACCCCGAUUGCGAAGGCAGCUUACUAAACUGUGACUGACAUUGAUGCUCGAAAGUGUGGGUAUCAAACAGGAUUAGAUACCCCUGUAGUC